UUUGUUUUUGUGGUCCGGGAUGUGUGCAAGUGGGUGAGUGUGGGUAAAUAAGAAUUAUUUUUUUCCAUUAAAAGUAACGAAAACCAACCGAUAAUUACUCUGUUUGAAUAACUUGCCUGUUUUUGGGUUUUCUUCUCCGAUGAGGGUUAGGGUUUGCUUCUUCUGGAUAUCGGCUUCUGAUGCAUCUAUAUCAUUACUAUCGGAUCCACUUGUAUUGUUUUCCUUCUCAGUUCUUAGAUAGAUCUGGUUUACUGUUGUUAUUUUCUUUUCGGAUAACAUGGAGGGAAAAAGAGAUCUAGAGGGUUGCGUUCAUGUCAAGAACAGGCAAGUGAAAGCUCCACAGGAAAAAGAAUCUGCAGUACUGUGAGAUUUCUGCAAAGAGUAACUACGUAUCUCGCCAGGAAGCGUGCAGGGUACUGUCAACAACUAUGCACCUCUGACCGAUAAAAAAAAAAACAACUAUGCACCUCCUUUUCUGCUCUCUUAGGUGUUGCUUCUCUAGCUUAUUGUGAUGUUACUAAUUCAUUGAUGUGCAGUGAUGCCAAUCUCCACUUUCUUGAGUCACCUGCACUUGCUCCCCCAGAGGUUUCAAUGGAUAUGGAGGCACAGCAGAUGCUCCUCACACACUUCUUGCUAUGGGAAAAGUUGAACGGAUGCAUCCAGAUUCGGGGACUGACCCGCUUGGGAUCUUGCGACCUCCAAGCAAAUUAACUCAUCAGCUUCCUUUGAUAUUCAGAUCACAGUAAGGUCCUGUACUGUCUUAAUAAGUUAUUUGACAUAGUCGAAGUGACUAAACCAAUUGCCAGUCGUUCCACAUCUGCAGAAACCUAGAUUGUGGGUUAUAAAUAUAAAGCCCCUGCGAAGAUUGAUACCCGUCUGUUCCACAUCUGCAGAAACCUAGAUUGUGGGUUAUAAAUAUAAAGCCCCUGCGAAGAUUGAUACCCGUCUGCUCGAUGUGAAGUAUUUGUUUGAUGUUGAACAGGAAAAACCUAAGGUGAAGGACAUUUUCUGGAAACCAGUAACAAAUGCCCGAACAGGUAUUAGUGAAAUCAGUGCCAUUCGGAAAUCAGUACCAGCUCAUGGCAGUGUAAUUCAUGAUAUUACAUCCAAAUCCCCGAACAUUUUCUGAAAUCAGUACCAGCUCAUGGGGGUGAUACUGUUAGGUGGAAACCUACUAAUAAUGGUUUAUUUAGGGUAAAAUCUGCAUAUAGGGUUACUCAUCCUUUGCCAGAAUGGGUGCUGGUUUAGAGCAACAAAGGAGAAGAAUGGACUCAACUUCUAAUGAGCCCUUAUUUACUAAUUGCACCUGAGAAUUUAUUGGCACCCAUGAUUACAUGUUUUGCACAGAUGGAAGCUGCAAAGAUUGCUUACAUGAGAAACUGCUGGCUUGCAAGAAAGGAACCACAUCCAUGUGAUGUCUUUAAGGCUAAGCUGUUGAAGAACUUGAAAGGCCAUGCCUCUACUGUAAGGACUGAAUCUAAAAAGGUUCUGAACUGUUUUCUGCUGAGGACCAAGGAGGCAUCCUCAGGUGCAGCCAAGAUGGGGUUGAUCGCAUUGAUGCCAACACGGGCAUUAGAGCUUGUGUUGGUUUCGGGUGGGGUGCACAAACUUACCAUCAAACUGGUCAAUGGAAUCAGGUGCAGAGGAAGCACUUUGAGACUGUAGAAGAACUUCGUAGGAAGCUACUGCUCAAGGACGAGAAUAAAUCCGAUGAACAGGCUGAGAAGAGCAAGGAGAAGAACACCGAGAACAAGAAGAAAGGUUGAACACCUAUUAUGUUGGUUUACUUUAUGUUGGUUUUGGGUCCUUGCCACGGAUUACUUGAAAUUUGCAGACUUAAAAUAAUUUUCUUAAUUUGAUGUUUUUAAUUUUUGAUUAGAUAUUUGUUCUUAGCACUAGGUAUCACAGGGGCUUACACCCAAACUUGUAUUACAUUUCUUACCUCCUUAUAAUCUGAAGAUCCUUUCUGCUA